rnacentral:lncRNA from 1 species
CUCAAGGAAAACAGUGUGCAUCUGAAGCCCAGAAGGGUGGAGAGAAGACAGAAACAUUGUGGCCACUCCUGGAUCUGUGGCUUUAGGAAUGCUGAGGGGAUCACCUCCAUGACCACUGUCCCUAUGUUCCUGGCUGAUGGAGUCACUCAGAAAUUCUCAUAGUGAUGACAAGAUGAGGAUGAUGACUAAGUUUGCUUCCAGACAGAAUGAACUUUCUGAGAGUAGAGUUGGAGUCCCUCCUGUGUUUAUUGGGUCUCCCAUGUCUGGCCUAGCAUCUGACACACUGAGAGGCAUUCAGCACAUCUGCUGUACAGAAAACUCUGCAAGUGGGAACACUGCACGCUGUGUCAGGUAAGGAAUCUUCCGUUAUCCAAGGUAGAUGUCAGGAUAGAGGAUAACAACACAGAAAGAAAGAAGAAAUGUCUGUGAC